rfam:Drosophila mojavensis strain TSC#15081-1352.22 Ctg01_10148, whole genome shotgun sequence.
UGCAGGCGCACUCUGUGUCACGUUGAACUAUUUCCACAUGUGAUGACAAUUUGUUAACCUUGCUAAAGUAAAUUAAAGUCUCGGUUUAUCCGUGUGAUCGUGUCCUCAAGACUGAUCUCAUUGACUCGCGUCUUACACCCA